UUAUUUUCUGUGCAACUUGUUGGUGAUGUGAUUUUUUUUUGUAUUUGUGUUGGAUCAUCUUUCAAAUUUCUGAUUCUAACACUGUAGGAAGGCGUAGAAGGAACAGGAAACAGUGGGUACAAGUACUAGCCUACCAUCAAUUCUUUCAGUAGAAAUCAUUGUUUUGCUGAAUGCAUCAUCCAGUUAAUACAGGUUUAUUGCAGCAACUUUUGGGAAGUCACACCAUGGUCACCCCAUAAGAUGCAUGACACAUACCAACUUGUGGUGUAUUCAUCUGAUUUUUACUCAAGCAGUAAAUUCAACAUAACUGUUUGAUGCCAAAGUUAGUUGGAACUCUAACUCAAACACCAAUAACCGUUGCUGCUGCUGCCUUACAGCCACAGACAGGAAAAUUAUUCUUUUCUUCAGGAAAUUGGAAAGCUGCUGGAGUAAUCUGGUGUUGAUACUCAUUUGAUUCAUUUCCUGCCAGCUAGUGAAAGCCGAAAGGCAUGUCGAAUUCAAUUGACCUACUGCAUGCUGUCUCGAAGCAAGCAAUCCAGCCGUUGCGUUCAGUCAUUUGGAACAGGAAUCUAAUGGCUGUCAAUAGGUGGCUGUCAAUAGUUGGCUGAAAUGUCCACCAGGUAGCGCGAGUGUCUCCAGGGACGCAUUUCGGCCAUUUUGUUCCAAUACGCAGCAGAAAUUGGUUGUCGGUUGUGAUGAAAAUUAAAAGGUGAUUUAGCACGUUUAACCAAUUUGCCAAAUCAUUCAACCCAGACUUGGAAGUGCCUGUACAUUGCCGAAAUGGCGUGCCUCGUGUGACUCGCUGCCUCCUGCCUGUUCUUAGGCGUACGUCUCAUUCCAUGCAACAGCAAAAAGUAUAACAACCACACUUCUGUAACACUGUUGGUUACCUUGUUGCAGCCAAAUGGUGAAAGGUGUGGCGAAGACAGAAUGAACCAUUGUAUGCAGCAUGCGGUUGCAGUGUAAUCCAGAAGUUGCUGUGCUGUUGUAGCUGAUCUGUUCCAUUUGGAUUCUGACUUAAAAAUUUUUGUGUUGUCGUUUUUGUUUUUGACUUGAAAGUUGAAAGUGUUUGAUGUGUUGUCUUUUGAGUUUUCAUUCAAUCAUGCAGUAUACGACUG